AUCUUUAUGAUAAUUAUUUAAAGUUAGGCCUGCCCAAUGAUAUUUAUUUAAUGGCUGUAGUAUUUUAACUACACAAAGGUAGCAUAAUCAUUUGUCUAAUAAUUUUAGACUAGCAUAAAAGGUUAAAUGAGAGUUAAUCUUUCUUUUUUAUAUAAAUAAGAAGUUGUUUUUUAAGUUAAAAAACUUAAAUUUUUUUAUAGGACGAGAAGACCCUAUAGAACUUAACUAAAUUAAAAGAGACGUCUCUUUUAAUUUAGUUAUAUUGGGGUGAUAUAAAUUUUUUAUUAACAAUUUCUUUUGAGUCAAUUAUUUUUGAUUAUUUGAUCCAAUAGUUUUGAUUAUAAGAUUAAGUUACCUUAGGGAUAACAGCGUAAUUUAAUUGGAGAGUUCUUAUUGAUAAUUUAAGUUUGCGA
rnacentral:rRNA from 1 species